AUGUGGGAACUCCAAAGGGUACCAAAUUCAAUCCAUGGUCCUAAUAUAUUCUCAAGAUCAUCCACGUCAAGUUUCAUGCCUUGCACAAGAUGUUUGCUCAGUCAAUUGCCCAGAUGCCUGAAAAUCAACUAUAAUAGGUCAAAGGUUAACUGUGGCCCACAUAUAGUGAAACUUCAAGAUUUUUGCUCAACAUCAACAUUUUUAAGAGAUAUCCAUCAUUUGAUCAAGGGUUGA